rnacentral:lncRNA from 1 species
ACAAGCUUCUCAAAGAAUGGGUCACAUGUCAAGAGAACUGAAAAACAAGAGCGGGCAGGCUCUGAAGCAAGUCCUGUGAAGAAUUUUCUAAUGAAGAGAGAGGCUACUUCCUGGAAAGCCGUCAGGGUUGUAUAGAAAGUUGGCUGUGAAGCACUGUUCAAAAUGCUCUUUUUUGGUGAAGUUGGGCCUAUAGUCAGCUUAUUCUCUCCAUGGCAACCCACUGGGGACAGGCUGGGUCAGAGGUAGGCACCCAGACGUCAUGUCCAUCUGAGUCAUCCAAGGGAGCUGAGAGGCAAAGAAGACAGAGCUAUGGCUCUGGUGCUUUACCUUGGAGUGAAGGGGACACCCAGUGGAAUAGCAAAGAUGUGGCUCCAGUGAAAAUUCAAUCCAAACUUUGACUUUGGGGACAUCAUGACCACACUACCAAAAGUCAAUCUGUGUUGCCUCAGGUUCUUCAUGUUU